GACGAACGCUGGCGGCGUGCUUAACACAUGCAAGUCGAACGGAAAGGCCCUGCUUUUGUGGGGUGCUCGAGUGGCGAACGGGUGAGUAACACGUGAGUAACCUGCCCUUGACUUUGGGAUAACUUCAGGAAACUGGGGCUAAUACCGGAUAGGAGCUCCUGCUGCAUGGUGGGGGUUGGAAAGUUUCGGCGGUUGGGGAUGGACUCGCGGCUUAUCAGCUUGUUGGUGGGGUAGUGGCUUACCAAGGCUUUGACGGGUAGCCGGCCUGAGAGGGUGACCGGCAACAUUGGGACUGAGAUACGGCCCAGACUCCUACGGGAGGCAGCAGUGGGGAAUAUUGCACAAUGGGCGGAAGCCUGAAGCAGCAACGCCGCGUGCGGGAUGACGGCCUUCGGGUUGUAAACCGCUUUCGCCUGUGACGAAGCGUGAGUGACGGUAAUGGGUAAAGAAGCACCGGCUAACUACGUG
rnacentral:rRNA from 1 species